rnacentral:rRNA from 1 species
CCCGGGAUAGCCCAGGGAAACCUGGAUUAAUACCGGAUGAGACGGGACCCGCGAAGGCGGGACCCGGGAAAGGCGCUGCGGCGCCGCCGGGGGAUGAGUCUGCGUCCCAUUAGCUAGACGGCGGGUAACGGCCCACCGUGGCGACGAUGGGUAGCCGGCCUGAGAGGGUGGACGGCCACAUUGGAACUGAGACACGGUCCAGACUCCUACGGGGAGGCAGCAGGCUAAGAAUCUUCCGCAAUGGGCGAAAGCCUGACGGGAAGCGACGCCGCGUGAACGAAGAAGGCCGUGAGGUUGUAAAGUUCUUUCGGGAGGGGAACAACCGUGGCAGGGAAUGGCCGCGGGAUGACGUGAAUCCCGGAAUAAGCCCCGGCUAACUACGUGCCAGCCGCGGC